rnacentral:misc_RNA from 1 species
UUGAGCAGUGCGCGAGCUGG